rnacentral:misc_RNA from 1 species
GAAAUGCGAUAAGUAAUGUGAAUUGCAGAAUUCAGUGAAUCAUCGAAUCUUUGAACGCACAUUGCGCCCCUUGGUAUUCCGGGGGGCAUGCCUGUUCGAGCGUCAUUUCAACCCUCAAGCUCUGCUUGGUCUUGGGCCCUGCCGGCAACGGCUGGCCUCAAAAGUAGUGGCGGCGCCAUCGUGCUCUCAGCGUAGUAAUUCUUCUCGCUGUUGGGUCCCGGUGGACGCUGGCCAGCAACCCCCCAUUUUCUAAUGUUGACCUCGGAUCAGGUAGGGAUACCCGCUGAACUUAA